rnacentral:rRNA from 1 species
UACAGAGGGGGCGAGCGUUGUUCGGAAUUACUGGGCGUAAAGGGCGCGUAGGCGGCCCUCUAAGUCGAACGUGAAAUCCCCGGGCUCAACCCAGGAACUGCGUCCGAUACUGGAGGGCUCGAAUCCGGGAGAGGGAUGUGGAAUUCCAGGUGUAGCGGUGAAAUGCGUAGAUAUCUGGAGGAACACCGGUGGCGAAGGCGGCAUCCUGGACCGGUAUUGACGCUGAGGCGCGAAAGCCAGGGGAGCAAACGGG